GACGAACGCUGGCGGCGUGCCUAAUACAUGCAAGUAGAACGCACAGUUUAUACCGUAGCUUGCUACACCAUAGACUGUGAGUUGCGAACGGGUGAGUAACGCGUAGGUAACCUGCCUGGUAGCGGGGGAUAACUAUUGGAAACGAUAGCUAAUACCGCAUAAUAUUGAUUAUUGCAUGAUAAUUGAUUGAAAGAUGCUAUUGCAUCACUACCAGAUGGACCUGCGUUGUAUUAGCUAGUAGGUGAGGUAACGGCUCACCUAGGCGACGAUACAUAGCCGACCUGAGAGGGUGAUCGGCCACAACGGGACUGAGACACGGCCCAGAAUCCUACGGGAGGCAGCAGUAGGGAAUCUUCGGCAAUGGACGAAAGUCUGACCGAGCAACGCCGCGUGAGUGAAGAAGGUUUUCGGAUCGUAAAGCUCUGUUGUAAGAGAAGAACGGGUGUGAGAGUGGAAAGUUCACACUGUGACGGUAUCUUACCAGAAAGGGACGGCUAACUACGUG
rnacentral:rRNA from 1 species